CAAGUCGACGCGUUGGCCCAAUUGAUUGAUGGUGCUUGCACCUGAUUGAUUUUGGUCGCCAACGAGUGGCGGACGGGUGAGUAACACGUAGGUAACCUGCCCAGAAGCGGGGGACAACAUUUGGAAACAGAUGCUAAUACCGCAUAACAACGUUGUUCGCAUGAACAACGCUUAAAAGAUGGCUUCUCGCUAUCACUUCUGGAUGGACCUGCGGUGCAUUAGCUUGUUGGUGGGGUAAUGGCCUACCAAGGCGAUGAUGCAUAGCCGAGUUGAGAGACUGAUCGGCCACAAUGGGACUGAGACACGGCCCAUACUCCUACGGGAGGCAGCAGUAGGGAAUCUUCCACAAUGGGCGCAAGCCUGAUGGAGCAACACCGCGUGAGUGAAGAAGGGUUUCGGCUCGUAAAGCUCUGUUGUUAAAGAAGAACACGUAUGAGAGUAACUGUUCAUACGUUGACGGUAUUUAACCAGAAAGUCACGGCUAACUACGUGCCAGCAGCCGCGGUAAUACGUAGGUGGC
rnacentral:rRNA from 2 species